CUUGCCCUCAAGCGACUAUUAGAAUGCCUGGUUUGAUGAAUGAAGCUAAAGAUAUUACCAAAGGCUUUAUGGCUUUGUGGUUUAAAAACAUAGUAAUAAGCUAUUUUUCUUUUAGAAAUGUCUAAAUUCUUGGCACCCAAGCCAGCAGAUCAGAUGAGCUCCAAAAAUCAUUUGUAAAAUGGGCCUCUUAGGUCAUAGGUCUAAAGCCCAAACACCUACGGAAUCUAGAUUGGAGAUAUAAUUGAAUGAAUUUAGGUAGAUAAAGUGUUAAGGGUGUUAAGAUCUGCAGAAAAUGGAAAACCACACGUGUUCCAUCUGAAGAGGACAGUGGCUCCUUGGUUGAAUGUCCUGAUCUUUAAACUCUCAAUCCAGCCCUGCCUCGUGCCUCCUAACUUCACUGCCACCUGGGUUUCUGAACUUUUAGCUUGAUUUUGACCUUCAUACAGUGAUUCACUGACUCUAUCUUAUCUUUUGGUUUUAAGAUGCCAGCUUGCAUUUUCGCUUCAUUCCUCUGAGCACCAUGCUAGAUUCAGAUCUCUCAGAAUAAAGGACUGGAAUCGCAGCUUUAGAGAACACAACAAAUUGGCCAUCUUCGUUGUCUACCCUGGAGAAGACCUUGAGGUUCAUAUGGGCAAAUCUCCUCCUCUGCGAUGGACUCCUGUAAAUCGGGGGAGAGCUGCAGCUGGUCAACGUGUAAAAUGACAUACUGUCCGUAUAGAACGCGAUGUGCAAAGUACCAGUGUAACUUGACAUUCAAGGCACUUUAACACCUGUUUCCAUAGCUACACUGUAAUCCAGACAUUUGAGAGGCAGGCCUGCCUCUGCCAGGCCUGUCAUUUCAGAGAAAUAAAUUAAGAAAGCUGAUGACA
rnacentral:lncRNA from 1 species